rnacentral:ncRNA from 1 species
UCAGGUGUCGCAAGACUCAAUAGAGAAGCCGGUGAGGAACAAAACUCCAACCCCGGCGCGGUCCCGCCACUGUAGCAGAGAGUGCUGUUGCAACAACGUCACUGGAGAUGGAGAAGCGUCUCUGGGAAGGCGCAGCAGCAUGAUGACCUGGAGCCAGGAGAACUGCCUGAUCGA